CUCUCCCGGCGCUCAGUCCCGCUGCAGACGCGCGCUCGCUCCGUCGGUGCCCACUAGAAGAGGCGGCUUCCUGUGUGAGGUCGCCCACAUUCCAGGUGAGGAAACGGAGGCACACGGAGAGAUUCAGCAACUUACUAACGGCUCGCGGUUGCCGAGUGGCAGAGCUGAGGUUCCAACUCGUGAUGGGACAGAUCCUGAGCCCACCAGGCUGUCCUUCCACGCAGCCUAAACUUCCCAUGGGCUUUGGGGUCAGACAAGACCAGGGCUCAUGUUGGGCAAGUGGUUUCUCCUCGAGGGCCCUCAGAUUCUUUAUCUGAAAAAUGGGCAUAGUAGGGCGCGGUGGCUCAGGCCUGAAUUCCAGCAUUUUGGGAGGCUGAGGCAGGAGGACUGUGUGAACCCAGGAGUUAGAGGCUUCAGUGAGCUACCAUUGCGCCACUACACUACAGCUUGGGUGGCAGAGCCAGACCUGUCUCAAAAAAAAAAAAAAAAGUUUGGGGGCUGGGGGAGCAAGCGCAGUGGCUGACGCCUGUAAUCCCAGCACUUUGGGAGGCCGAGGCAGGAGGAUCACCAGAGGUCCAGGAGUUCAAGACCAGCCUGGCCAACAUGGCAAAAACCCAUCUUUACUAAAAAUACAAAAAUUAGCCGGCAUGGUGGCACAUGCCUGUAAUCCCAGCUACUGGGGAGGCUAAGACAGGAAAAUCACUUGUACCCGGGAGGCAGAGGUUGCAGUGAGCCAAGAUCGGGCCUCUGCACUCCAGCCUGGGCGACAGAGUGAGACUCUGUCUCAAAAAGAAAGAAAAAAGGGCAUACUAACAGUACUUACCUCACAGCGUGGUCUGUAAAACUUAAACAAGAAACUGCCUAGCUCAAUUUCGGGGAUAUAGUUUGUACUAAAUAAAAAGCUGAUAUACCAACAAUAGCAGCAGUGGCAGUGACAAUUAUUAUUAUUGUUGCUUUACAGUUGGCAUCAAAUAAUAAUGUUCAUGAGAAUGGUCAUUCAUUCAUUCUUCAUUCAGCAUAUAUUUAUUGAUCCAGCCAGUAUCCCAG
rnacentral:lncRNA from 10 species